ACCCUUGGGUGAGCUCCAGUCACUUGGGGUGUUGCUCCCAGCAGCUCCCCAUUCCUCACUGCUCUUCCCUGUGCUGUGCAGUUGGUGGCACUGGAGCAUCGUGCAACCUCCAGCCUCACCCUUGGGCUGCUGCUCUUGGCUCACGGUAGUUGCUGUUUGCUUUGAACUUUGCCAUAUUCAUAAACCAGAGCUGGACUUUGCUGCUCAAUGCUGGGGUUUAAAGGCCUCUGUGGGAGUUCUUUCAGUUUCCUCUGGGGAUUUCCAUGCUUGCUUUAGGAGGAGUUGCUGGGAAGCUCGCUGCUGCUGCCCUCCAGGAGGCUGUUGGGAGAUGAGCUUAGGUGGGAGCCCAGCUCCAUUCCCAGUGAUGGAGCAGAGCCCGUGGAUCUCGGCUGCAGUGCUAUGUAAGGCUCUCAUCCUUUACUCUCUCUACGUUUUGCAAUGUGGCUAAAAUGUGCUCCCAGUCCUCUUGAAGGUAGGGCAGAAUGAAAGUAAAGCUGAGGGUUAAACCCA